rnacentral:lncRNA from 1 species
GAAAACGCGAAUGAACUUUCCAGUAGGAUUUUCUCGCUUGGGAAACGUUUCUUUAAACUUUUAAAAGAAAAAAAUGUUCUUACGCGGUCCGUCAACCGUUGAAUGUGCGGCGUAUUUACUCGAAUGCCAUCUCACUUCCGUUGUAGCUAUAGCGGCACAAGUAGUGGAAGUCAAACUGGGCUUAAAAUAAUAAUUUCGGCACAUAUUGUCCAAGAAUGUUACCGUAAUAGAGUAGGAGACUGUUCUAAAGAAGUCAAGACGUGCUGACGCAUUAAGAAAAGUCCGACGAUAAAAAUAACUGACCGGAAUUAGUAAACAAAUAGAACAAACCCGGAGUGCAGGUGGAAGCGCUGCCGUUUCCUCAUAGACGCCGAAGUUGCACAGCUGCCGUUUAUAAACCGUUCUUUUUUUUUCUUUUUUUUAAUCGCGAGACGAUAUCCUUCGCAGUCUGGUACAGUUUUAGUCGAUAGAAAGAUUUCUGUAUUUUGUCCUCAAUUUUUAUAAAAAAAUUUCGCUUUUGGCACGGGAUUAGCGUGUUAUUUCGUCUUUAUUUUUGUCCGCCACAUUCAUAACGCGUGAAUGACGAAACGGAAGUUGCGUAUCUCGGCUGCGAUUUCUAGGUAGCAGUUAUGCUAAAAAUUAGCUUUUAUGGCAGCCUGAAAACUGUCAAGCGCAGCUGGUUUGGUAAAGAUCUAACGUUUUCCCCCUUACAAUAUAUAUCUCUUAGCAAGCGAGUUUAAUAAAUGUAGUAAGAUUUUAGAGCGCGCGGCGGAUUAUAAAAGAGAAGAAUGGGACGGAGGUGUUUCCAGUCAACUCCGCCCAAAAGUGGAUCGGUCCCGUGGCGGGACACAUGGGAGAAGGAAAGAACCGAUUUAUAAAUAUUCAAAAUUCCAAAGUGACAUUCCCGGUGCAACCCUUCUCACAUUCUGGCUUCUGCUCCAUGCCGCCGCAAGACUAUUCACACUCCGAAGGCCACCUACGAAGACAACGCGAGAGGCACCCGACACCCGAGCACUCAACGCGAGCGCGCAACACACACCAGCUGUGUAUCCCUCGGCGGAUUUUUAUUUUGGAAAGACGGUAAUCAAAUAAGGCAAAGUUACGAAGUCCAGGUACAUUGCCCCGUUUGUUUUGACCAGAGUCGGCGGCAAAGCGCAACUUUAGACGUGCCCAUCCGACUGGCGCGGCCUCCCCUCCGGCCCAGUGGGUGCGGUCUCGUGUCACGGAGUCGUGCAGUGCAGUAAUGAUGGUAAUCGCUUCGUAGCGGCAGCCAGCCGGAACAAAGGCAAGCCGCCAGCCAGAGAACGAUAAGGGCUCCUGCGCCGGCGCUGUCCGUCCCAGUGUUGUAGGCGUCGACCAAGCGGAAAGACCUGCCGAACAUCCGUCGGCUAGAAGCGUAACACAGACCGGACCAGUCCGGUCGCACGGUACUUUGUAGCCCCCGAUUUAACGUACCGAAUUUUUGCCAGGUAACGACACCCUUGCACACUUAUGGUCCGUGCAAGCCAUCAACAUGACUGGGUGAGUAAUCUUUCUUUUUAUUUAUUUUUUUCCCGUCGACGGCCUUUCGGAUCGGGGCGUACGAGUUGCGUGUGAGUGUUAAUUGGGGCCGCUACUGCUACACGGCGGCCGUGUGUUGGCAGAGCGUCCACGUGUCUCGUACUUGUUAAUGCAGUUGGGUUGUAUCGCGGUCUCUCUCGACGGAGAGCCGUCGUUCCGAGUGUUUAUCGUCGGUCUUAAGUGGAGAAAGUUUUGCUGGAUCGUUACGUUGUCAACUCUGUCUGACAGGUAAUUGCCCGCGUACUUUUCCGCUUUUCUCUCUUACGGACCAGGCGCGGUCACCCAAACUAUCCGAAAACUCCCUUUUCUUUCCGUUCCCACCGGAGUGUGUGGUUUUCGCCCAGUUUCUGGCAUCUCGGCCCUCCCUUUAAGUUUUGACCCAGAGCGGAAACUAACGUUUCUCCCGCCUUGAACCGAUCAGAACUACGCGUGGAUUUGGCGCGUUAUCGUGGUUUUUACCGACGCGUAGUCCAUCUCCGCCUUUGUUUACUAUUGACCUAGGUGAUGAGAAACCUCUAAUUCGAUUUUUAUUGUGUGAAUUCGCAUUUUUGGUCUGGGUCUCCCCUCGGUGCUAUUCAUCAAGAGCCACCCGUACGAGGCAGCCAGUCCUAUUUAAGCAAAUUGCGAAGUGCCACCGACGUGUGUCACGUCUUCGCCGACUUCCAACGCUCAAAAUUAAUGAGCCAUUGAAAGGGUUGAGCGAGUUCCCAGUCCGUGACACCCCGUCGAUGUUCCCUGGCUAGUCCUCUUCUCGCUUCCUGUCGUUUGCACGCGUCUGGCUUUCCUUUCAUCGUCGUCUGUGUUAAAACCGGCGGCUAGCCUUCGUUAGACUGCCGAGUUCGCGGGACCGUGUCGUUUGACCCCGGCUGACGCCAACGGGGGGCAAGGGGAAGAAACUUUUGGGGCCGACGGCCGAUUCUUUUUCCCGCCUAACUAGCCCGAAUUAUCCAGAUGGAUUCUUUUCAAAAAACUCACCAAUGGAUUUUAUGAGUUGCAUUCACGUUACGGGACUGCAGAACGGAAUAGGUCCGAAUUUUUUCUUUUUUUCUUUUUUUUUUUUUACCCCGAAUAAAUGGUAUGUUAUUAAGUUUUCUAAAUUUUUUCCGAUUUUUUUUCCUUCGAUAUUUUCCACGAUUUUUCGCUUUAUCGCUUUCGCACAAAAGAAUGGGUGACGUCGCUCUCUGGCGUUUAAAGUUUCCCAACAAAACUUAAACGUUUAUAAAUUCGGUCGAACUCUUUACUAAUAUCUAAACAACGGUAAUAUUAGACGAAAAAAAACUUUUUUUACCGGCUCUUACAUUUUUUUUUAACAUUUUCUUCGUCUGGCGUAAAGAAUAAUUACUCUUUCUCUUUAAUAACUUAUCGAAUCAUAAGUUUUAAAAAAUAUGGUAAAGUAGAAACUAAUUUAGAAAAUUUCUCGCGCGUCGGGUGACGUAAUUGCAGAACUUUUUUUAAUAAGUUAUUAUCUCCGAAAUAGGCGGCCCUUAACGCACCAGCUAGCUUUCCUCCCUAGGCCUAUAGAUUAUGGCGUCUAGACGAUGUCUAUAACCAGGCCUAGCCUAUAAUAUCGAUCAUCCACCAGCUUAUUGAUCGAUAACGCAAUUUUAGAUUUUUAAUCCCCUUAUGGGCUUAUAGUUAGGCGUCGGUAGAGAUCUAAAUUAAAGAGAAAGUGGAUAAUUCGGUUAAGGCCUAUGGCCCUUUGAGGUUUCGGCUGCCAGAUCUAGUAAAUGUGCUGCUGUCCAUUUUAAGGGACUUGGAAUACACGCGGCGCAAAACACGGACUUUUCUUUCAUUCCGAUAACACUCCGAAGGUCAUUUUUCCAUGGAGUUUUUUUUUAUCCGUUAUUAAUUCGAUUUUGUUCAAAGCUUUCGUAAGCUAUACGAGUCUAUAAUCAAUCGGUUAAAUACGUUAGCUUGGUUUGUGACCCGUACAUUCGUCUCGCCAGCCAAAAAUGGGGCAAAUCCCGCGAAAUUGGCAGGAGAACCAGAAGUGUGAAGAUCGCACAAUUUGGCAAGCCACCCAAAAGUGGGAAGACCUCAGAUUUGGCAGAUGAGCAGGAAGGACCCGUGGUAAUUCGGUCGGAGAACUAGUGGUGGAAGAUCAUGUACAUUUGGCAAUGAAAUCAAAUCGGUUAACCGAGGAUCCAAAACUGAUAUUUUUCUCGAAAAUGUAAGAAAUGUAAAUCGUCGACUUUAUUAUAUAUAUAAAAAAAAAAACUAUUCACAAGACACUAACUAGACGUCCUA